rnacentral:rRNA from 1 species
AUGUCUUUGUAUCCGUUGCUUAAUGGUAACAUCGAUAGAAAGCACCGGGGCGCCCUAUUGGAAGCGGGCAACAACUUAGACGUGUUGGUCACUCGUACCCCAAAGACUAACUGGCUGAUACACGAUUCAUGGGUUGAUAGGUUAAGUUGGGCUAGACUUCUACCCUUGGCACGGCUGGUUGAGGGUACAUUAGAUGAGUGGAUUGAUGGUCCGGACUUAGAUGAGGCAGGUGAACCAGUGCAGUUACACAAGAGGCAAGUGAAACGUUUCUCUUAUGACAAGUCACUCCUUACCUGCUUAGUAGAUAGAUGGAGGCCAGAGACACAUACGUUUCACUUUCCGUGGGGAGAGAUGGCGCCUACUUUACAGGAUGUGUCUUACUUGUUGGGAUUACCUCUGGCCGGUGCUGCCAUAGGUCCCUUAGAGGCAGAAUCUGGGUGGCAAACAGCGAUGCAGGCCCGUUUUUUGGCUGUGGUCCCGACUGCUAGGGCCAUAGACAACGAUCCUCAUGGACCUCUUUUUAGAUGGUUGAGCCAGUUUCAGAUUGUCUCGUUAGGAUAUCCCGAUGUUCAGUUGUCGGAGGCACAGAUUGACCGGUCCCUAGAGGCAUAUAUUCUUUGGCUGUUCGGCAAGACGAUGUUUACGGAGAACCACGUGACCACUGUCGAUGCACGACUCAUCGGUAUUGCACGAGAGAUAGCUGACGCACGUUGCCCUGCGGAUAUUCUACAGAGGAGUUUUGGUUCUGCUGUGUUAGCGGCUACGUACAGAGGCCUGUGCAAAGCUUGCUUGUUGAAGUCUAGAAAAUCUGGUGUUGUUGGAUGUCCAUUAUUGUUGCAGCUCUGGUCAUACGAGAGAUUCCCUAUUGGACGACCCUAUGUCUACGUUGAUAAACCUUUUGGUUUGGAGGACUUAGUUGGGGCUUAUGUGCCUGCUAUCGGCGAUUUACCUACUAUGGGAUCUGUUUGGGCACGACGAGAGAGACAAUUUGCGCAUAGUCAGGUUAGGGGAUGCUACCCGUCCUUCACGGUGCAGUUUGAUAGUUUGCACGAGGAUCAAGUUAUCUGGGAGCCAUACUCGGCUCAGGCUAUAUCAUCGAGGUACCCAGUUGGGAUUUCUGGAUUAUGCACUAGAGAUCGGCACUUUUGGAUGACCAAGGCCAAGUUGGUGUUCGAUGUGACGGUUGAGGAGAUGUCUAUUCAUAGGGUGAUGAGACAGUUCGGUCUAUAUCAAGAGCCUGAGAUUCCAGAUAUUCCACACUUGCCAGACCACGUGCACAAGGACAGUCGCCUAGGAGGAAACAAGUCGAUGGAUUACUGGCUUAAGAGCGUUACCCCUUACGUUGACGAAUGGACUACCGCUGCGACAAAUAUCUGGGGUGAGGUUCGGGCCUUUAACUGGGAAAUGUUCGGGUUGUAUCUGCAGCGUUACCGGCAUACAACGAGGAUCUACUUGGUUCCAUCAGCUGCUCCUGAUCAGAUCGAAGCCCCUCUCACCAGCGAUAUGUACCCAACUUCCUCUGUUGUGGGAACCAGACACCACGCGGAUGACUUGACAGUACAGGCGCGAGAGGAGGUUUCCGCUUUAAUGCGGCGCUAUCAGAGGGGAGAAACUAUCCCACCGCGAGAGGGCGUCUCAUGGUUGAGGCGUCUUGAUGACAAGCUACGCGGGAUUUAG